ensembl:lncRNA
AUUUCAGGUCUGCAUGGCAUGCACCUUUGGAUCCCAUUAAAAAAAGGGCAGCAGUAAAUGGUACCAGGAUGUAAAGGCAUGUGGCACAUGUUUGGGAUGAGAGUUCACCCAUGCUGAAGCCUGGAAUUUAGUGGGAGACCAAUAUUUGGGAAAGGAAGGAGUUCAGUAGUGUGGUCACCUGGCUGCAUGGUGCGUUGCAUUGUGUAGAUAAGCACAGUGCUGAUAAGGUGGGCUUAGUGGUUGUGCCAGCACCCCCCAGCAGCCCUGCUGAGCAGCCCGGCUCAGUUCCCCAUGGCCCACACGGCUGGCCUGCGAGCAGCAGUGCACCAGGCGUUGUGUUGGGAGAGAUGCCUGCUGAUGCCUGGCCUGGGAGCUUUUCCCGCUCUUGUGGUGGUUGUGGGCGCGUUCAAAGGCUGCUUCCUCUUGCUGAGACUUGCUUGUUUGUUUGAUACGGAGUGCGUGCAGGUUUCUUUUUUCCCUUCUGUAAAGGAUUUCUCUGUGGAAAUGGAUGAAUGUUGCUGUAGUAAUUUUGGUUUGCAGCAUCCUUUCCCUGAGAAAGACACUGUAAAAGCUUUGAAACUCAAUAGUCUUCAGCAUCAUACAUGCUUAGGAUCCCUUAUGUAUCAAAUAGAGUUCACGGCAAAGCUAAAGGAGUCAGUGUCCUAUUGAAAGGCCCUUUAUGUCUUGUCUCUUCUUUGUUCAGCAGGGAACAAAGUUCAUCAUCCUGAGACACCAGACCUUUGACGAAGCGCAGGUUACCUGUGACAGUGCGUGCGGCGCUAACAAAGAGUCCCUGUCAGCCUUUGUAGAAGACUUUGAGGCUUCAGUCAGCGUUGACUUUCCAGAAGAUGAGGAGCGUGUUGGUGAAGUGCUAGACUGUGGUUCCUCGGAUCCCUCAGUUCGUGGGGGAACAGAAGAAGCUCAGUGUGGAGAUGAAAAGAUGACAGAAGCAGCAGAAUCCCAGAAGUUGCGAUCACACAGGCAGAUGAGGAGCAGAAACAUCUGUAAGCCAUGACUGCACCUGCCUACGUGAUGCUGAGAUGGGGUCCUCCAGCCAGCUCAGGCCUUUCCUGGUCUUUUUUCUAUGUUCUGCUGAAUCCUGAUCAACCCGAAUGCUGCCUGUUGGCACUGGGAUAGGGAGAGCCACCCAUGCAGACCCAGAUGCUGUAGCCUCACUUUUCUAAGACGGCACUCGACUGGGCAGUGAAGCACGGCAAUCUUGAGAUGGCAGAGAUGGUCGCCAAAGCAGGCGUCGAUGUCAAUGCUAAAUCGUAUGUCACUUAUUUCAUUGUGACAGGGGUAAUGUAUUUGUAAACUGUGCUAUAAAUAUUGGAAUCUCAUAUUCAGACACCAGCAUAUCUCAUAUUCAGACACCAGCAUUUCUGAGCUAUGCUUUUUCAAAUGAAUUUAGAAUUGACAAAAAUUUUCAAAGCCAAAUUACUAGUGUGUCACUGUGAAAUUAGGUUCUUGACCCUGCUUCUGAUGUAUGCUUAUUUUUCUACACAUUUUCUCCUUCAAUUUUAUGCAUCACUAUUCACUGCUGGAAUUGGUGACAUGGCUUUCCCAAAAGGGGGUAAGUAAUACUUUAAUACACCUAUGAAAUGAGUCUGCCUUUUUCAUGAAUAUUCUGAAAGCAAGCUGUCACUGCAGUCAAUUGAUAUUCCUACGCUUCAUUGCAGAGAGGAGUGAACUUUUUAUGACAGGGCAUAUCUUGGCAAACUUUAUUUCAUCUCUGUGGCACUUCGAAAUUUCAUUAUUCUGAGUUAAGCAUAUUUUCUAUUAUUUUAAGUAUGUUCCAUUUGUGAUUAAAGUGUUGUAUAGAUAAACCAAAUAAUCUGCUGGAGAGCUUGAAUGAAGAGCUUUAAUCAAAACUUGUCCUGAGAUCCGUAAGCCCGCAGUUAAACUGCCCAGUGACUAGGCACAGGGAAAUGCCUCUGAUGGAUCAAUUUCACAGGCAAAUUAGAAAAUGUGUCUGAGCUUAUUAAUGCUGCUGUGGAUAGUAAUUCCAUCAUUCGUAUUUUGCAUUUGCCAGUUUGCAGUAUAUCAGAUCCCAGAGAAUGUAUACCUAAUUGGUUGUCGUAUUUACCAGCAGGCCUUAUCUCUGGCCAAACUCGUUUCUUUGUAUUUCUGCUACAUAGCUAUGUGCACCCCUAUCACUGGAAAGAUAUUACAGUUCAGAUGUUCCAAUGCUUCCCAUGUGAACAAGUUGAAAAGACAGUGUUUAUCCACCUGUAAAAUUGUUUAUCAAUUAUUUAUGUGUAAGCCCUUGUGAACUGAUUCACCGCUCUUAAGAAGUGAGUGUGGGCCAGCUUAUCCCAGGCAGCAGGGCAGGACAGGCCGUGGUUAGCAGGGCCUGCUUCCAUACGUUGGUAGAACAUAUGAGAGUUGGUAAUAAGACUUUGGCACUGCCCAAAAAUACCCUGCCUCGGGUAUGUGCAUCGCUGGGGGCUAAUUCAGCUGCCAGAGAGAGACAGCUUACUUGAAAAUUGCAGCUUUGAAAAGAUUAAUUUUUUUUAAACUUGUGUUAUCUUGAUUUUUUCCAUACAUAAAACUAAUCCACAUAAUGAAUAGUCGGGCUGUGGGAGCACCGUGCUGUUGGUAGCACUGAGCUGCACUUCGCAGUAAUGUUCUUGCUAGUCUUAUCAGAUGCAAUAUUGAUUUCUGUACCUUUCUUUGUGAAGGUAGCCUGAGCUGAAGCUGGAAUAUCACACCUAUAUUUCUCUGUAUCAUAAUUCAGUAAGUUAAUAAAAGGGUCAGCUCCUCCUAAAGAUACAGAAAACACAGGAGAAAGCACAGAAUUUGCUGAGAGUCCUGGCAUGGGGGACUGGCGCUGUUUACACACAUGCCUGCAUUUGGAUAGAGUGGAUAUGCAGAAAGACAUAAAACAGGAAACCAAUCCUAGCACAGCCCCGUGUUCCUUUGUACCUCCUCUUGUUCAGCUCCUCAAGGCCCAGCCUGCAGCAGAGGAGCCGGCCCUUGGCCUUUCAGCACAUGUGGCCCCUGCAGCCUGUGUCCCGUUGACUCCCCAGCGACCCAACAGCCCACAGCAAUCCAACACCCUGUGCUCCCAAUCCUUUCCAUUCCACUGUGCAGCCAUAAGCAAGCCACUGCCGGGCACCUUCAUGGCCACAUGGUGUGGCUCUGCACCGGCACAGCCCCCUCCAUUUCCCAUGGAAGGUGAGUUUCUAACUGUGUUUGUGCUUUAGACGAGCCCUGUAAGGAAACAUAUGCAACCUUCCCCUCGGUCUGAGGGCUAACAAGUUUGGAGGCCAGGCCUACAUGCUGUGAGUCCCUGGGCUGGGUGCAGUUGUUUAAGGGCUUGCUUCUCAGCAGUGACCCGGCAGGAAGGGCUGCUGGUGCUUGGGCUGCUCCCCGAGGCACAACCCCGCACAGGUCUGCCCAGAACAAUGCAAAGGCCACAGGUGUCCCGCAGGAAGGCUGUGGCAGAAAAGAAAAUACAGCGCCAAAGCCCUGAAGCUCUGGAAUGUGGCUGCCGUGCCUGUGCUCCCAUAUGUGCUCCGGCUGCUGGACUGCCUGUGUGCUUCAGGUGCGGCCCUGGCUGGCCGCUACCGUAUCCAGAGCUCAGUUGAAGGUUCUACCCAACAGCCCAGCAUCACGGGAAUUGCUCCCACGGCAAUCCCAUGGCGUGGUUUCUGGACAUGCCCACUCCAGGUUUGUCCUGUUUGUUUUGUUGCUUUUUAUGCAGUUUACCUUUAAGAAAAUAAUAGUUUCAGUAAAUGAAUUAAGUGGUAAUAAGGCACAUUACUGCUGUUAAUUCCUCCAGUUUACGCUGCUGUAUCUUCAAGAGAAUUAGACUGAUUUAAAUUUGACAUGAUGCAGUAAUCGGGCUGAGAUUGCUUGUAGUUACAUGAAGCUGAGCCCAUCUUUAUCAGCUCAUUUUCUGAAAAAAAAAUCCCCUAAGCAGCUCAGAAUAUUUGUUUGUGAUCAGAGCGUUGUGCCCUUCAGCCUGCAGUGCCUGUCGUCUGACACGAACAGAAGCAGAGACCUGGUGCUUGUAGUUCACCAAAGUGGCUAUUUCCUUAUAACCUUCCUCUUGUAACAAUGUUUAUUCAGUUAUCAGGGAAGAAAUAUCAUUUGUCCGUGCAGCUACAAUUACCCAAUUUGUUGUAUAAAUUAUUACUUUUUUUCUCAUCUCAUGUUGAUGACAGAAUCAUUUAAUAGACUUUCAGUUGCUCAAGCUUGAAAAUUGGUUCCACAUUCCCCUUUUUUUAGUUUUCCUCCCUAGGGUGAGUGCAACGUGGCCUAAAUGCCAUUCCCAGCCCCCCCUCCCCCUUCUUUUUUUUAAACAUCUGCUUGUAUGAGGAUGUUGUUGUGUACAUUAGCGCUGUGCAGUUUAGCACCUUUAGGACUACCUUUGGCUCUCAGCUUCCUUGCUUCCUGGGCCAACCAUAAUAUAUCAGGAACCGUGGAUAUUUCCUAUCUCAGCACUCUCCAUAACUCUUUUGCUCAGCUGUCUGAAGCUGUUUUCUUUAGGAAGUCCAAAGUGAGGGGGCCUGCUUGACCUGGCAUCGGUCCUAUUUAUAAGAAUAAACCUUCUUCCCCGUACACCUUUGGAGAUUUGUCGUGUAGGGGUCACAUCCGUUUAAAUGAACAGCAAUUGCGCCUGUGACGGAACACGGCCACGUAACCUUUAUUGUCCCGUCCUACCCUUUUGUUUGAAGUUAUUAAACGUACUCAGCUGAUUUUCUUCAAAGCUAAGGCUACAGGAUCUGCAGCCGUGUCUCUGCCACAUAAUUAAUUAGGAAGGAAAAAAACAGCUAUUGUGCACGCUGUAUUUUUGCAAGAUGUUUGUUUGUUUCCUUAAAGCCAGCAUUUGCUUUUUUGCUUUUAAAUUGUUGCUCUCCUGCUCUCACCACUGAAAUAAAUGCCAGUCGGGCUCAUUUGCUUAGCACAGGAGUUCCCGUGUGGCAGAGGGAAGGGGCAAUGCACGGAGCACUCAUCUCAUUUCCAGCCCACAGUCUGAGGCUUUGGCUCAGAAGCAGUGCCACCUCCACCUCCAUGGCACUGAGAUGUCACACUUCGGAUCUGCCCACUCACAAGUCAGCCCGGGUGCCUGUGCGGCGUAUUUAUUUUCUCCUUGUUUAUUUUUAAGUCUAAGAAUAUUUGCUGAAAGCAGGAUUAUCACUUUGUAGACCACCAGCAGCUGUUGAAAAGCAGGGCAUAAAAGUUUGUUUAUGUCUUUAAUAACCCUCUUAAUGACGGAGCAAGCACAUUAUUCACAAUAAAAUAGCCUGGCAUAAUCUUGCUUCAGUGUGCGGUGGGAGGGAAUUAAGAAACAUCUGCUCUGCCAUAAAAUAACAUAAUAUAUACCAUUUACAUUAGAAACAUGUGUCUACACAUAUGUAUAUUAUAUACAUAUAUUUAGAACGUCUCAGUGGAACUCGUCUUUUUAAUUACAUUUGGAGAACAACAAAAUGGUUAAAUGAUGAUAUUUUUACUUCUGCAUCUCAGCUUUAUGCAGUGUCUGUGGGUACGGCUGGUUACAGUGACAAGGGACAGAGCAUCAGAGUACACCUGAAGAUAUACGAGGGCAGAUUUUCAAGCACUGAAAUUGGGGUUCAGUUUCUGUUUUUAGCCUCCAAAUGACUGACCUGAUUUUCUGAAGUACAAAGCGUUCAUGGGCUCUUGACUUUAUGAGCAUUGGUUGCUCAGCAACUCUAACAAAUCAAGCCACUAUUUCAGUGCCUAAAUGCAGAUUUUAUUUACAACAACAGCAUCUGAAUCCACAGCUUUCCUCAGUGUGAAUUAUUUGUAUUACUCCUGUGCUGAGCACGAGAGCUCACCGUGCUGGUGCUGCACUCAGCAGGAGGGUGGCUGCCUCUGCCCUGACAAACCUGGGGCAAAAAGGGACAAAAUCGGGAUCCUGAAGCCAGCAGGGCAGCGCUCCGCCCUGGCAGUGGCCGUGCCUUGUGGCUGCCAACCAGCACAGCAUGUAAACAUGUCUUUAAAUUUCGGCGUGUGAGAUGUAAGUGGAACUACUUGCAUCUUAAAAUUAAAUACAUGUUUCACUAGAUCAGGCCAGAUGGUUUUACAUGCUCAAAAGUGACAUUUACAAGGUCACAUAGGAAGUGUUUGACAGAGCCAGGAACUGAAACCAGAUCUCCCAAGUGCCAACCCAGUGCCUUAAUUUUGCUCACAUCCAUUUUUCCUUCCCGCUGGCAUGUUUCUCAGUGCAAACAAGGAAAAAAUGAAUCCAGUAAGUAGACAAUUAAGUUGUUGUUUUUAUUUAGAGGCGCUGGGAACGCAAAUGCCACUGUUUGAAAGAUCAGUACUUUCAUUUUUUCAGUGAGGCAUAUGUUUUCAUGGACUUUUUUUUUUUUAAUUUUGCCUGUUCUAUCUUACAAGAAUGCAAGAGAUCUGUUUUCAUUUUGUAGGUGGCCCACCAAAUAGAAGCUAUAAGUUAAUAAAAUUUCUAUGCAGAUUUAUGUGAACUGGAUGAACUCUCCCAGUAUCUGAAUGUUAAUCUGUUGGAAAAUAGCUGCCGUGGUACUGGAACAGCUCAACAUCAUACAGCAGGGCACACUCACAGCAGCACUCCGCUGACAUUUUCCCUACAAAUGCCAAAGUAAACAUGAGAGACUACUGUGGGGGAAAACCAGUGAACUACUGGAAAGGCAACUGUGGUGAAUUUAAGGCAGUUGCCUUAGAUUCACCUAAAUCUCUGCUUCUAUUAAUGUGUGUAUUUUCCUUGGUAGACAUAUCCGUGUAAAUUUUCUUGGAUACAUUUGAUUUAGCCUGCCUCACUUUGCCUCUAUUCUUGGCAUGGACUUAGCUCUUUGCAGGCUCCCAUUCUGCCUUAGUUUUUAAUGUCUUCAACCUCCCUGUCCUGUUCCAACUGAAAUCCAGACCAUGAGAGAGCACCCCAGGGAAAAUGCUGGAUCCUCCAAGCAUGAAAAGGAGGGGAGCAACAGCAUUCUCACAGGACCCUCCUACUGCACCCACAAACUGUAUAAAGGUAAAAUGAGUAGGGGUGGGGGUAGGGUUUGCAUAGUGACCUCUCAUCUUGACUGGCCAGCCUGUAUUUCGCCAGGUCUAGCGUAUAAAGGACUUGCGAGGAUGGAGUUUGUGCAUCUGUGACCGGAUUACAAAAACCCUCAGAAAUUGCUGUAAUUUAAGACACAUUUAAAAGUGUACUCUGGAUGGCAAGGAUGGCACUUGGGGAUUGAGGACAGUAAUCUCUGACAGUGGGCCAGUAAUGAAUACUGAGAUAUCUUGGGCUCUCCCUCAGCUGCCCCACUGCUGUGCCAACCCAAUGGCAUGAACUUUAAGGAUCUUUGCAAAAAGCUCGUGUGCUAAACAGCAUAGCACAGCUGACAUUCAAGGAGCACUUAACAUCAACCUAUUGCUCAGGACCAUACCAGUACCUACACAGUCUUGUGCCAGAAUCUAUUGUAUAAGGAUCAGACCAAGCAUCUUGUUUAGGAAGGACAUAUUUCCUUCUCCACUGGAAGGCACUUAGGAAAGAGAUCACAAAAGAAAAUCUCCAUACCACUGCCUCCACAGCUCAGCUUCCUGGCUUUGACUUCAGCAGCUCUCAUUAACUUGAGCCAGAGUCAGUAUCUUGCUUUGGCUUUUGUACUCCUUGAUGGAUUUUUAUUUUAUUUCAACCAUUACUUUUCAUCAUCACUUUUUAAGGCCAUAGACAAUUUUUAUAUCCACAACAUCCUGGGGCAUUGAGUUCCACAGUUUAACUAUGUGUUGUGUGGAUGCACACUAUGAGUUCUUAAAUCCUUGUUCCUUACAGUUUUUUCCAUCAUCUUACAAACUUCAGUUGCAUCCACUUGUCACACUCUGCACUUUCCUCAGGCUAUAAAAUCAUCCUGUAUUUAGGUGCUUCUCAGAAACAGUCCUGUAUCUUUAAAGCAUACCAAAUCUUGAUUGAGAAACUGAUGAAAAAUUAUAUUAUUUUGGGCUUAAUUGCUCACACACUGCCACCUUUGAUGAUGCACAGAAAUAGCUCGAGAAGUACCAUUAAAAGCAGAAAUCCAAAGAACAGAAUCAACUCCAAUUUCCUACACAAAGUAAGGGAUUUGGAUCAAGACAAAGUCAUCAGCAUCUGCCCAGGUUCCCCAGGUGGCUUUGGGGAACCCAUCCCUUCCCUUCUCUUCCGGGGAGUCUGCUCUUCCCAUCUGGGAGACUGAGUUGAAGACACUAAGUAUUGGUUAGAGGAAUUCUUAGGUAUAAAAUCAAUGUCUAAAUUUGUCUAACAAGAGUUUGAACUGCAAGCUUUAACAAUAUUAAUACACUUAAUUUUAUCUAGUCCUAGCCAGCUCAUUUACUGGGAGAUUUCUUGGUUUGUGUGAACUGAUUCUGGAGAACUGGAAAGCAAAGACCCACAUAGCACCCAUCACAGCUUAUUACAGGGGGUAAACAGUCAGUGUUAUUAGUAGAUGAGGAAAGGUAGAUCAAUAUAAAGAAAUACUGCUCUCAUUCACUAUUCCCUUUGUCACUGCCAGGCCUCAGAAUUUUUCAGUUCAUUGAUGUCAGUAAGGAUUUACUCGCCUGCCCAAGAAGCUGGUGCCUGAUUAUUCCCAGGCUGCAGCAGAUCCUGAUCAGCAUGUAAGCUGGCCUGGGCAGCUGCGUAAGAAAACAAAAUUUUAAGAUCACAGCAACUUAAAAUACUGCUUGAGUUUAUAACGUCAACAUUGGUAUCAGGGAACAUGGCAACAAAAGUGACCAAAAAGCAUCUCUUUUCGCUGUAGUGCUUAGCAAAUACAUCAGGUUGGUUAGACAGAGGGCAUGUAACGUUUUCAUUAGCUGAAUGAGCACCUAGCUCAAGCCAAAUCUGAAGGCUUUUGGAAACACUUUAUUCACAGGGAGCAGCUCAGGAGUUAAACUAUGUUUAGCAUAUUCCCUUCCCUACAUUAUUUCACGUGCAGAGCCGCUUCCUCUCUGACAGCAUCAGGAGCCUAUCCUUACAUACCCUAAUGGUCUCAUGCCUUCAGCAAGCUGUGGCUUAUACCCACAUACCUCCUCAUUGCUGUUAUCACCAAUGGUUUCCUCACUGGAAAUAAUCAUGCACAUUACAACUGUUGCCAAAACCCUCUGGCAUCAGAAGCACUCUCGGAAGGAAAGCCUGAAGGCAUGCAAGGGCCUGAACAGGGUAGCUGCAGUGAGGCAGGUCAGCAGUACUACAUGGGAACCCAUGCAAGAGAAAAGCUGCACGCUGCCUUCAUGUUUAACACCAGCCAGAGUUAGGGGUCUGAUUCUGCUGGGCUUUCAGAAUGAAACACAAAUGCUGGCCUGUGCAAAUUCCUCUGUUCAUGGUUUCACGUCCAUGUGCUCACACCAACAAUCCAUCAUGAGGUCCCAUCGCUGCAUCUGCGUGCCUUUGUGGAGACUGCAAAGGUUUUGCAUGAGUUCAAAUAUGAAAAGAAAAGUCAUUUUUCACACAUUCUGAUUUCAAAUAUGACUGUAAAUGUUCUAAGCCUCUUUUUAUGUUUAAACAUUUUUAGUGAGUUAAAAGCCAAACAAACUAUAUCUGUUACAUUUCUGCAGUUAGAUCAUGUAACUUGAUUGCUUGACAAAGCAUAAGCGGUAUGAGGUCCUUUAUGGGCCACAGCUGAGCUGGAUUUUAUGCCUAAGAAUUUCCACAUUUUGGACCAGAAGUAAAAAAAAAAAUUCUUCUGGGCAGCACCCAUGAGCCCAAGUCUGGAAAGAAGAAGUGAAAUGAGGGCAGAAAGCCCCCAAAAGAGCCUGGCUGUCCCUUCAGACAGAGCAGAAGGAAAGUAAAAUCACACCUCUGUUCUUUGGGUGUGGGGUCACCCAUCCCACCCCAGGAGCAGGGCGAAGUACCGAGACUCCCAGCAGCAGCCAGGGAGGUGUUGAGAAGCCCAUCCGAGGGGACCUGGGGAUAGUGCUUGUCCCAACUGGGGAUUGGAGCAGAGGGACUUCACAGAAGACAGCCCCCAAAAUGCUCUGCAGCCCCCAGAUGCCAUGGUGCUGUGGAUGGGUGAGGGAAUUGUUGGCUUGCCACCGC